CAAGACCGUGAGGUGGAGGCAAAACUCAAAAACUUAGUCUCAGUUCGGAUUGUAGGCUGAAACUCGCCUACAUGAAGCUGGAGUUGCUAGUAAUCGCGAAUCAGCAUGUCGCAGUGAAUACGUUCCCGGGCCUUGUACACACCGCCCGUCACACCAUGAGAGUUGGCAAUACCCAACGUACGUGAUCUAACCCGCAAGGGAGGAAGCGUCCUAAGGUAGGGUCAGCGAUUGGGGUGAAGUCGUAACAAGGUAAC
rnacentral:rRNA from 1 species